GGGAUAUCUUCGCAGGUGGACGAGGCCCUGCAUUCUCUUUCAAUUAUAUUGCCAGAAAUUCUGGACUUACACUUGUUGACCUGGUUAGCUUCAGUAAUAGUGAAGUGGCUUCAGAGUUAAGUUGGAAUUGUGGACAAGAAGGUGCCACGACUAAUAGUAUUGUCCUAGAGAGACGACUUAAACAAGUUCGUAAUUUUCUGUUCAUAUUGUUCAUUUCUCUAGGUGUACCAGUACUUAACAUGGGAGACGAGUGUGGUCAGUCUUCAGGAGGUUCCCCAGCAUAUGAUGCUCGAAAAUCUUUGAA
rnacentral:misc_RNA from 1 species